UACGUAGGGGGCUAGCGUUGUCCGGAAUCAUUGGGCGUAAAGCGCGUGUAGGCGGCCCGAUAAGUCCGCUGUGAAAGUCCAGGGCUCAACCCUGGGAUGCCGGUGGAUACUGUCGGGCUCGAGUCCGGAAGAGGCGAGUGGAACUCCUGGUGUAGCGGUGGAAUGCGCAGAUAUCAGGAAGAACACCAACGGGCGAAGGCAGCUCGCUGGGACGGUACUGACGCUGAGACGCGAAAGCGUGGGGAGCGAACAGG
rnacentral:rRNA from 1 species